CCUACGGGUGGCAGCAGUGAGGAAUAUUGGUCAAUGGACGCAAGUCUGAACCAGCCAUGCCGCGUGCAGGAUGACGGCUCUAUGAGUUGUAAACUGCUUUUGUACGAGGGUAAACCCCGAUACGUGUAUCGGGUUGAAAGUAUCGUACGAAUAAGGAUCGGCUAACUCCGUGCCAGCAGCCGCGGUAAUACGGAGGAUGCGAGCGUUAUCCGGAUUUAUUGGGUUUAAAGGGUGCGUAGGCGGGCUGAUAAGUUAGAUGUGAAAAGUUGAGGCUUACACCCGAAACGGCCUUUAAUACUGUUGGACUAGAGAACAGUCGAGGUAGGCGGAAUGUAUGGAGUAGCGGUGAAAUGCAUAGAGAUCACACAGAACACCGAUAGCGAAGGCAGCUUACCAAACUGUAUCUGACGUUGAUGCACGAGAGCAUGGGUAGCAAACAGGAUUAGAUACCCCAGUAGUC
rnacentral:rRNA from 1 species